AUGGCCUUUCCUGACAUCACAAAGGAUGACCUAAAUGAACUGAUGUGUGAGGAGGCAGAGGAUGUCUUUGAUGAUGACGGAGUGUCCUCCCGCUUCCCAGACAUCAUGGCUGCUGGCACUCACUCUCCUGGAGGGCCCAAUGGCAUCAUCAGGAGCCAGUCGUUCGCUGGCUUCAGCACCCUGCAGGAGAGACGCUCACGGUGUAACUCCUUCAUGGGGAACUCAGCAGUGCAGAAGAAGCCCAUGUCAAAGCCCAGGAAGCCCCAUCUGUCUGGGCACAAGUCGAGCAGCAGCAGCAGCUCACGAGAGCCGCAGCCCAAAAGAGUGGAAGAAGUUUACGGAGCCCUCAAACAAGGCCUGGAUGAAUAUCUAGAGGUGCACCAAACAGAGCUGGAUAAACUCACUUCCCUCAUGAAAGACAUGAAGAGGAACUCCAGACUGGGUGUGCUGUAUGAUCUGGACAAGCAAAUGAAGACCAUAGAGCGUUACAUGCGACGACUGGAGUUCCACAUCAGCAAGGUCGACGAGCUGUACGAGGGCUUUUGUAUUCAGAGUAGGUUGCGUGAUGGCGCCAGUAAGAUGAAACAGGCCUUCACUGCUUCACCCUCCACUAAAGGCACACGUGUGAGCCUGGCGGAGGUCAACCGCAGAUACAAAGAGUAUACAGAGAACAUGAGCACUUUUGAGGCUGAACUGGAGAACCUUUUGGGGGAGUUUCAUAUCAAAAUGAAAGGAUUGGCUGGUUUUGCCAGGCUUUGUCCCGGCGAUCAGUAUGAGAUUUUCAUGAGAUACGGCCGACAGCGGUGGAAACUGAAGGGGAAGAUCGAAACGAACUCCAAGCAGAGUUGGGAUGGAGAGGAGAUGAUCUUCAUGCCCCUCGUUACAGACCUCAUCAACAUCAAGGUGACAGAGUUAAAGGGGCUGGCCACUCACAUCUUAGUGGGUAGUGUGAUCUGUGAAACCAAGGACCUGUUCACCGCUAUGCCUCAGGUGGUAGCUGUAGACGUCAACGAUCUGGGAACCAUUAAACUUAACCUGGAGGUCGCCUGGUUUCCGUUUGACGUGGAGGAUCUGACACUGUCCUCAGGAAACGUGAGUAAAGCCACCGCCCUUCAGAGACGAGUUUCAGUGUACAGCCAAGGCACACCCGAGACGCCCACUUUCCAGGACACGUCUUUCUUUUCCACUUUACCAGAUGAUGUCUUUGAGAACGGAGGCUGCGGUGUGGCCGAAUGCAAGCGUCUGUCCUUCACCUUCUCUGACACGCCCACCUCAAGCCCCGCCCCCAUCCAGUCAAACCCUGAGAUCACCGUCACGCCCCCUGAGAUGGACCUUACCUCUGAACCAGCUCCAGCCUCUGAGGAGCAGCCGGUUGAGGAGGAGUGUGUGGAGGAAGACUGCGGAAGUGUCAGUGCCAGCGAUCCAGACCUGGAAUGGGACCAGGCUGAGGUCCAGGGGCACGGCACAGGCUCGGCGGCCCCCUCGCUGUGCUCCGAGAGUCAGCUGUCUGUGGUGGGACUUGAGGAUGUGGUGUUCUUGGAGCCCAAUGUGUCUGACGAAGCCCUGGAGCUGAAGCCAGUGGAGCUAGACGGGGAGGAAGGCAGUCUGACCAGGCAACUGGUGAGGAGGCUCACCUCCUCUGACAUGCUGCCCGAGGCCGGCGCUGUGAGCUGGUCUGGAGAGAGCAGCAGGACCUUCCAGGAGAGCAGCCUGGAGGAAGCCAUUCAGUCCCUGCUCCUGCGGCUGGAGAGCUUGGGCCAGUGCUGCGGGGAGCUGCAGGACUUGGAGCAGGAGGUCAUGAGACUCGAAGACCUGCUUAAGUGUCGGGUACCUGCCCAUAGGAGCCGUUCAUCAAGCCUCAGUUUGACAGUGGAGAGCGCUCUGGAAAGUUUCGACUUCCUCAACACCUCUGACUUCGAUGACGAUGACACAGGAGAUGAUGCUGCCACCCUCUCACGCGCUGUCUUCUUUGACAUGGAGUCAGAGAGAAUCGGGUCAGGCCAACAUCCAGAAGCAAGAGGCCACCUGAGUGAAGCCCUCACAGAGGACACUGGUGUGGGGAACAGUGUGGCCGGCAGCCCGUUGCCUCUCACCACAGGAAACGAGAACCUAGACGUGGCCAUCGUUGUUCAUCUACAAUACUGCAAUCAUCUCAUUCAGUUGUUGACCACAGGAGGAAGCCAGUCGCAGCACAUGACAUACCUGUACAAACUAACAAUUCAAACACUUCUGUUGGAGGAGCUCAGUGAGAAAAACUUUGACAGACCGGGCAGCUGCAUUUUAGUGUCUGAUGUGCUGCCUGGGCUGGUGGAGCGUCAGGCGCUGAUGUCUCUGUGGUCCGACUGCAGUGGUGGUCUGUUCCAUACUACACUGGACCGAGUGCUGAAGCACAUGCAUCUCAGCUUUGCCUUACCACUGCAACAGAUUCUGCCUCACUCUCCUGACUCAGUGAUCAGGAUGGUGGUGAACGAGAUGAUGGACAGGAGCGAGCUGGCCUCAUCCUGGUGUCCUUCACCGUCAUCUCUGGCACAGGAUGUCAUCACCGUGUUUCAGUUUUACCACUACACUGUUGAACACGAUAUCACGGACAUGGAGCGACACCUGCUGGAUUUAGCCAAAGAGGUCAUGCUUGAAGAAGCCCUGAGCUGUGUGGAUACAGAACGCUGUGUGAAGGAGCUGCAGGAAGUGUCCGUCAUGUGUCUCCAGCCCCGUCCUCAAACCCUCUGGGCCGUGGCAGCGCUGUUGACCUCUGAUGAUCCUGACGUGAUGAAGGCCGCCACAGCCUUCCUCUCCUCUGCUGCCUCACACAAGCCCUUCAGGUCAAAGGCUGUUGAUUGUUACACACAAGUCUUAUCAGAAGCAGACAGAUCAAGAGAUGCAUGUGCCGCUCUGAGCUGCCUGCAGGCUGUGGAGAGCAUUGAUGCUGUGGUGUUACUGUGUGACUCAGCCGAUGAAGAUCUCCGUCAUAUUGCCAUAGAAACCCUCCUCACUUUCGGUGAAGAUGGGCGGCUGGCAUACGAGCAGUUGGACACAGUACCGAGGGAGAUCUUGCGGCUGGGGACUCGCCGCGGUAACGCUGUUACCACUUCAUUUUAGAAAAACGACUCGUUAUUCCCCUGUGACCCUGCACACUUCAGACACAUCACCUGCUAACAAGGGAAAAAGUGAAGCUUGGCCUUCUAUUUAGGCCCAUAUCUCGAGACCUUCAGCACAGAGUCUCCUUUUCUGUAGGAUGUUUGCAUUUAUACUACUCGUGUCACAGUGGUCAUGAGUCAUUGUUGCUGAUUGAACAAUAAGAGUGUUAAUAUUGAAAGUUAGUUAUUUGCAGAUUGCAGUUGCACUGUUGGAAGCAUGUAAAUAGAACAGAAAAUCCUAUUUAAAUUUUGUCCUAGGAUUUUUUUCCCCCUCUGUAUGUGCCGUUCCGUUUCAGGGAUUAUAAGGGACUGUCUUAAUGCUCCCCGCUUGAGUUUUUUUUUACCUGGACAGAGUGAGAUUUCUGUAACCUCUGGGAAAGGAAAGAUUUUAAGUGUGCUGUUCGAACCCAGCUGGACUACUGAAAACCCGGCGUGGACGGUGGACUGCUGAUUUAUACAUAGCUCGCUUGCCUUCAGUGGUCAGGAGAAAAUAUUUCUAUGGACGGAGCCUGUAGUGAACAAUUGCAUUAACACUGUACUAACGCCUGAGCACAUGGGAUCUUACAACAAGCGCUGUUUGGAGCCCAUCAGAGUAUCUGAAAAUGCACUUUUACACUCAGAGAAGCAUGAUGCAUUACUGUGAAUUUUUGGUUUCUACGUAAAUGAAGACUGGAAGUAUAUUUGCUCUGUGAUCUGAACUCGCUUCUGUGCCUGUUGUUACUGUACUACUGAGUCAUGUGACUGUAAUAUAAUUUAUUUUAUUUAUUUUUUAAUUUCUCUUCACUAUAAAUGGUAAGAUUCUGAUUUUACCCUCUUUUUUUACAUACUGAUAACAGAUUGUUUUAAUGAUGUACUCAAUAUCUGUUCACAAUAUGAUUAGGUACAGUCAGGAUUUAGUAAUAUUGAGGGGCUAUUCACUAUGAAAUUAUAUAUAUAUAGUUGGCAUUUUACAUAUAAAAAGAUGUUUUAUCAGUAUCAUCUUUUAACAGUGUAUUCAUGGAGUUAUAGAGUAUUUGUGCUCAAGGGAACCUUUCCUAAUCGUCCUUUUCUGUAUGCUAAUGCACAUGACCAGAGAAAACGCUCUCUGCUAACCGAACGCUUGCCUCGCUUUGACACGUUUACACACCCUGUGUUGAUCUUUAAAGCUCUCAAAUGUGAAUUUACGCUUAUGGCGGGAAUUAAAACGCAGUUUUGUAAAUCGCCCGACCUAUUUUUGCAAUAUUUUCUAUGACAUUGAGAAUUGUACGAAAGCAGGGGCUUAAAUCCAUCAAAAGAAGCACAUUUCGAGGAAUGUACCGAGUACAGAAAGGUUACUGAAGUAUAUGCCUCACAAGCACAACUGAAAUGUUUUGGUAAGAUUGUUUCUUAACAUGUUAUUUGGCAUUUACCCCACAAACUCUUAAAGCCAUAAUGAUACAGAAGUCAAUAUAUUUAAGGCCGUUUUGUGGUUUCUAUUUAUCAGAAUUAUCUAUAACAGAUAUUCAUAAAUAAUACUUUUGUUUUUGCUGUUUUCUGUAUUCAGUCACAGCUAUGAAUGGCUGUGAUUUCUUGCUUUGUGAGUUCGUCUAAUGACCACCGUUACAGUAUUUGACCCUGGGCAUUGGUGACCACUCACACAAGAACGUUAUUCUUUGCACAGAGAUAUCAAGUGAAAAGGUUGAAUUAACAUUUAUUGCCUUUUAUUCAUCUCAGACAGAAGCUCGGUGAAAUUCAACUGCAUUUAUUGUUCAAACCUCAUUAAAAUGUAAAUGAAUGUCCUUCAUGACAGGAA